UAAUACGAAGGGUGCAAGCGUUACUCGGAAUUACUGGGCGUAAAGCGUGCGUAGGUGGUUUGUUAAGUCUGAUGUGAAAGCCCUGGGCUCAACCUGGGAAUGGCACUGGAUACUGGCAAGCUAGAGUGUGGCAGAGGGUAGUGGAAUUCCUGGUGUAGCAGUGAAAUGCGUAGAGAUCAGGAGGAACAUCCGUGGCGAAGGCGACUGCCUGGGCCAACACUGACACUGAGGCACGAAAGCGUGGGGAGCAAACAGG
rnacentral:rRNA from 2 species